ACAGGCUUAACACAUGCAAGUCGAGGGGCAACAUGGUCUUAGCUUGCUAAGGCCGAUGGCGACCGGCUCACGGGUGAGUAACGCGUAUCCAACCUGCCUUACACUCUUGGACAGCCUUCUGAAAGGGAGAUUAAUACAAGAUGUUAUCAUGAGUAAGCAUUUUCGCAUGAUUAAAGGUUUACCGGUGUAAGAUGGGGAUGCGUUCCAUUAGAUAGUAGGCGGGGUAACGGCCCACCUAGUCUUCGAUGGAUAGGGGUUCUGAGAGGAAGGUCCCCCACAUUGGAACUGAGACACGGUCCAAACUCCUACGGGAGGCAGCAGUGAGGAAUAUUGGUCAAUGGACGAGAGUCUGAACCAGCCAAGUAGCGUGAAGGAUGAAGGUUCUAUGGAUUGUAAACUUCUUUUAUACGGGAAUAAACGGAUCCACGUGUGGAUUUUUGCAUGUACCGUAUGAAUAAGGAUCGGCUAACUCCGUGCCAGCAGCCGCGGUAAUACGGAGGAUCCGAGCGUUAUCCGGAUUUAUUGGGUUUAAAGGGAGCGUAGAUGGGUUGUUAAGUCAGUUGUGAAAGUUUGCGGCUCAACCGUAAAAUUGCAAUUGAUACUGGCAGUCUUGAGUACAGUUGAGGUAGGCGGAAUUCGUGGUGUAGCGGUGAAAUGCUUAGAUAUCACGAAGAACUCCGAUUGCGAAGGCAGCUUACUAACCUGUAACUGACAUUGAUGCUCGAAAGUGUGGGUAUCAAACAGGAUUAGAUACCCUGGUAGUCCACACGGUAAACGAUGAAUACUCGCUGUAGGCGAUAUACAGUCUGCGGCCAAGCGAAAGCAUUAAGUAUUCCACCUGGGGAGUACGCCGGCAACGGUGAAACUCAAAGGAAUUGACGGGGGCCCGCACAAGCGGAGGAACAUGUGGUUUAAUUCGAUGAUACGCGAGGAACCUUACCCGGGCUUAAAUUGCAACCGAAUAUGGCGGAAACGCUAUAGCUAGCAAUAGCGGUUGUGAAGGUGCUGCAUGGUUGUCGUCAGCUCGUGCCGUGAGGUGUCGGCUUAAGUGCCAUAACGAGCGCAACCCUUGCCGAUAGUUACUAACAGGUCAUGCUGAGGACUCUGUCGGGACUGCCAUCGUAAGAUGUGAGGAAGGUGGGGAUGACGUCAAAUCAGCACGGCCCUUACGUCCGGGGCUACACACGUGUUACAAUGGGGGGUACAGAGGGCUGCUACCACGCAAGUGGAUGCCAAUCCCAAAAACCUCUCUCAGUUCGGAUUGAAGUCUGCAACCCGACUUCAUGAAGCUGGAUUCGCUAGUAAUCGCGCAUCAGCCACGGCGCGGUGAAUACGUUCCCGGGCCUUGUACACACCGCCCGUCAAGCCAUGGGAGCCGGGGGUACCUGAAGUGCGUAACCGCAAGGAGCGCCCUAGGGUAAAACUGGUGACUGGAGCUAAGUCAUAA
rnacentral:rRNA from 1 species